rnacentral:rRNA from 1 species
AUUGAACGCUGGCGGCAGGCCUAACACAUGCAAGUCGAACGAGUGGCGGACGGGUGAGUAAUGUCUGGGAAACUGCCUGAUGGAGGGGGAUAACUCCUGGAAACGGUAGCUAAUACCGCUUACCUUCGGCUGUGCCCAGAUGGGAUUAGCUAGUAGGUGGGGUAAAGGUUCACCUAGGCGACUUUCCCUAGCUGGUCUGAGAGGGUGACCAGCCACACGGAAACUGAUGCACGGUCCAGACUCCUGCGGAAGGCAGCAGUGGGGAUUAUUGCACAAUGGGCGCAAGCCUGAUACAUCCAUGCCGCGUGUAUGAAGAAGGCCUUCGUGUUGUAGAGUACUUUCAGCGAGGAGGCGUUGCCCGCAGGAGAGGGACCGGCUGACUCCGUGCCAGCAGCCACGGUAAUUC